GCGGGAGGCGUCGAUGUAACACUACCCAUGCAAGGCUGCUUCUCUGACCGAGGCCUAGUUGUCCGGGACAACGGCAGGUGGGCAGUUUGGCUGGGGCGGCACCCCCUUGAAAAGGAAUCGAGGGGGCCCAAAGGCUAGCUCAGGGGGGACAGAAACCCUCCGUAGAGUGUAAAGGCAAAAGCUAGCCUGACCGGAUCUCCAACAAUACGAGUUCCGGAGGUGAAAGCCAGGCUUAACGAGCUAUCAGAUCCUUGUUAAUGAGGGUUGGUAGUGUCAGAAAAGUUACCCCGGGGAUAACAGGCUUGUCGCGGGCGAGAGUUCGCAUCGACCUCGCGGUUCGGUACCUCGAUGUCGGCUCUUCCUAUCCUGGCCUUGCAUGAGGGGCCAAGGGUGAGGCUGCUCGCCUAUUAAAAGGGAUCGUGAGCUGGGUUUAGACCGUCGUGAGACAGGUCGGAUUUUAUCUGUUGGGGGUGUUGGUUGUCUGAGGGGAAAGGGUCUUUAGUACGAGAGGAACGAGACGCUGAGGCCUCUGGUGAACCGGUUGUCCGACAGGGCAGGCCGGGCAGCUACGCCUCUUCGGAUAAGAGCUGAAUGCAUCUAAGCUCGAAGCCGGCCCUGAAAAUAGACAGCCUUCCCGUUUCUGCGUGCUUUGCGCGUGGGGCGGGUGGA
rnacentral:rRNA from 1 species